rnacentral:rRNA from 1 species
ACUCAAAGGAAUUGACGGGGGCCCGCACAAGCAGCGGAGCGUGUGGUUUAAUUCGAUGCAACGCGCAGAACCUUACCUGGGCUUGACAUGCAGGCAGUAGAACCCGGAAACGGGGACGACCUGUUGAGUCAGGAACUUGCACAGAUGCUGCAUGGCUGUCGUCAGCUCGUGCCGUGAGGUGUUGGGUUAAGUCCCGCAACGAGCGCAACCCUCGUCGCCAGUUACUUGUCUGGCGAGACCGCCGGGUACAACCCGGAGGAAGGUGGGGAUGACGUCAAGUCAGCACGGCUCUUACGUCCAGGGCUACACACACGCUACAAUGGUCGGGACAAUGGGCAGCGAAGGGGCGACCCGGAGCGAAUCCCAGCAAACCCGGCCUCAGUUAGGAUCGGAGGCUGCAACUCGCCUCCGUGAAUGCGGAGUUGCUAGUAACCGCAGGUCAGCACACUGCGGUGAAUACGUUCCCGGGCCUUGUACACACCGCCCGU